rnacentral:sRNA from 1 species
ACAGAGCGUCGGAUGCCGGAAAGUUGGUCAAACUUGAUCAUUUAGAGGAAGUAAAAGUCGUAACAAGGUUUCCGUAGGUGAACCUGCGGAAGGAUCAUUACCGAUACAACAAGCUAACAACUGUGUUGUCUGCUGUGUGAACUGUACCCAACCUUAUUCAGGGGUCGGCCCGGGGGGCCGUUAAAUGGCGAUCGGACGCGGAGUCUCGCGGCCGCUUCGCCUGCCCCGCCUUGGUUUUUUUAAACAUACGUGUCUUGUCUGAAGUCUGUCGAGGCGUCCGCCACGUCGAGUAGGAAAAAAAGCGAGAGACAACUUUUGACGGUGGAUCUCUUGGCUCACGCAUCGAUGAAGAACGCAGCCAGCUGCGAUAAGUAGUGUGAAUUGCAGAAUUCAGUGAAUCAUCGAAUCUUUGAACGCAAAUGGCGCUCUUGGGUUCUCCCAGGAGCAUGUCUGUCUGAGUGUCGGAUUGUCAUCCAUCGCGGGUGCGCGCUGCCGUGCGCGCGCCGGCGGCGUUGAGGCGUCACGGCCUUUUUAACACCUGGGCCGUGUCCCUCGAAAGGCAGAGAGACUCGCUGUGGUUCGGGGCUCGUUCCCGCAGCGCAGCAGCGGAGGCCAAAAGUGUCAGCACUCCUUCGCGCGCUGCCGGGACCCCGCCGCGCCCGAGUCGUGUAGGCGAAAAAACCAUGAUUCAUCUUCUUGACCUCAGAU